rnacentral:rRNA from 1 species
GGAUACGGCCAUACUGCGCAGAAAGCACAGCUGCCCAUCCGAACAGCGAAGUUAAGCUGCGCCAGGCGGUGUUAGUACUGGGGUGGGCGACCACCCGGGAAUCCACUGUUCCGUAUCCC